UUCGCCCGCUGGGGGGUUUAUGACUUUUCUUUUUCUAGAAGGAAAUGCAGCAUUGCCCCGUCACGCACACUGCGUUCGUGUGCGUUGCAUACCUGCAGCACUGGAACGCUGAACGCGAUCGUUUUCCUCACUUCGCGGUUUUCCUUCCCCAGAGGAUGCUAGAAGGAAGGACCCCUGCAGCUUGAGUCUUCUCCAUGGCUUUCCAUUGCUUCAUAGCAACUUCUCUUAUGUUUUUCCAAGCUUUUUUCUGAACAACUUUGGAAAUAAUAGUUGCUGGGCUCUGAAAUAAACCAGUAUGUGUCAUGAAAUUUCA